GAUGAACGCUGGCGGCGUGCCUAACACAUGCAAGUCGAGCGUGAUUUAUGAGGACGAAACUUCGGUCUAGGAAUCAUAAUGAAAGCGGCGGACGGGUGAGUAACGCGUAGGCAACCUGCCCUUGACACAGGGAUAGCCUCGGGAAACCGGGAUUAAAACCUGAUAACGCCAAAGAGUCACAUGGCUCUUGGGCCAAAGAUUUAUCGGUCAAGGAUGGGCCUGCGUCUGAUUAGUUAGUUGGUGGGGUAACGGCCUACCAAGACGACGAUCAGUAGCCGACCUGAGAGGGUGAUCGGCCACAUUGGAACUGAGACACGGUCCAAACUCCUACGGGAGGCAGCAGUGGGGAAUAUUGCACAAUGGGCGAAAGCCUGAUGCAGCAACGCCGCGUGAGCGAUGAAGGCCUUUGGGUCGUAAAGCUCUGUCCUUGGGGAAGAAACAAAUGACGGUACCCAAGGAGGAAGCCCCGGCUAACUACGUGCCAGCCGCCGCCGUAACAC
rnacentral:rRNA from 1 species